AUACAGCUGAAGCUGGUACACAGAGGAGCCCGGGAGCUACCUGAAUUAAAUCUCCCAACACUUGAGGAAUGAGAAGACUGAAACUCAGAACUGGCUACACAAAUGUCCUGAGAUCGAAGUUCUUAUUGACAAGGACCUCGCUGGAUUUGAGAGCUGUUCGGACUGUUGGGGUAAGAAUGCGAAGACUGAAAACUUCAGAGCUUCUGAACAAAGAUCCAAGGUCCUGAGAUCGAAGUUCUUAUUGACCAGGACCUUUGCCGGAUUUGAGAGCUGGUUGAUUCAUGACACAACGAUGGGGAAAGUGCCUCUUCAUGAUGAUGCUGGUGAUCUUGUUUUUAUUUUAAAGGUGCCCAAACACCAAUUUUUUUUUUUUUUUUUCCCCCAAUGUCACCACUGACCAGAAAGCUGUUGUUGUUCUAAAGGAACAAGCCUGAAUGAAGACACUACAGUGUGUAAUAUGGUUUAAUAUUGAAGCUAUUGCAUCAAACUGUUGACUUGUAUUUGUCGAAUAAACAGUAACUGAGUUGGAAACA